rnacentral:ncRNA from 1 species
GAGAGCACAGUACCAUGAAAAUUGUAAGUUGUGUUUGUGGGGGAGUUAUUGUCUAUCAUUGACCUCUAU